AUUGAACGCUGGCGGUAUGCUUAACACAUGCAAGUCGAACGAUGAGAAAGAGCUUGCUCUUUCGAUUAGUGGCGGACGGGUGCGUAACGCGUAGGAAUCUACCUAUUAGUGGGGGACAACUUAGGGAAACUUAAGCUAAUACCGCAUACGCCCUACGGGGGAAAGAAGGGGAUCGCAAGACCUUUUGCUAAUAGAUGAGCCUGCGUAGGAUUAGCUAGUUGGUGGGGUAAAAGCUCACCAAGGCGACGAUCCUUAACUGGUUUGAGAGAAUGAUCAGUCACACUGGAACUGAGACACGGUCCAGACUCCUACGGGAGGCAGCAGUGGGGAAUAUUGGACAAUGGGCGAAAGCCUGAUCCAGCAAUACCGCGUGUGUGAAGAAGGCCUUAGGGUUGUAAAGCACUUUCAAUUGGAAGGAAAACCUCGAAGCUAAUACCUUCGAGUUUGACAUUACCUUUAGAAGAAGCACCGGCUAACUCCGUGCCAGCAGCCGCGGUAA
rnacentral:rRNA from 1 species